GAUGAACGCUGGCGGCGUGCCUAAUACAUGCAAGUCGAGCGAACAGACGAGGAGCUUGCUCCUCUGACGUUGGCGGCGGACGGGUGAGUAACACGUGGAUAACCUACCUAUAAGACUGGGAUAACUUCGGGAAACCGGAGCUAAUACCGGAUAAUAUAUUGAACCGCAUGGUUCAAUAGUGAAAGACGGUUUUGCUGUCACUUAUAGAUGGAUCCGCGCCGCAUUAGCUAGUUGGUAAGGUAACGGCUUACCAAGGCAACGAUGCGUAGCCGACCUGAGAGGGUGAUCGGCCACACUGGAACUGAGACACGGUCCAGACUCCGACGGGAGGCAGCAGUAGGGAAUCUUCCGCAAUGGGCGAAAGCCUGACGGAGCAACGCCGCGUGAGUGAUGAAGGUCUUCGGAUCGUAAAACUCUGUUAUUAGGGAAGAACAAAUGUGUAAGUAACUAUGCACGUCUUGACGGUACCUAAUCAGAAAGCCACGGCUAACUACGU
rnacentral:rRNA from 1 species